rnacentral:rRNA from 1 species
GACGUAGGGCGCGAGCGUUGUCCGGAUUUAUUGGGCGUAAAGAGCUCGUAGGCGGCUUGUCGCGUCGGCUGUGAAAACCUGGGGCUCAACUCCGGGCCUGCAGCCGAUACGGGCAGACUAGAGUGUGGUAGGGGAGACUGGAAUUCCUGGUGUAGCGGUGAAAUGCGCAGAUAUCAGGAGGAACACCGAUGGCGAAGGCAGGUCUCUGGGCCACUACUGACGCUGAGAAGCGAAAGCAUGGGGAGCGAACAGG